UGCACCUGUCCUGGACAUCAGCCGUGCGGCCCAUGGAAACAUCAGAUAUAAGUUGAGUUGGCGUCACAGUGAUUACAGCUGGUCCAGUUAUUUUAUUCUAGUGUAGUCUCUUUGAGUAAGCUGAUUUUCUCUCUGGCACCAAACUUUGUUGGCCAUCUAAUCUAAAGUCACUUUUCACGACAGGGGUGUUUUAGAACCUAUGGUAGUUUUCUGAUGCCAUAAUUUACCCCACUGUAAAUUUUCUAAAAUUUGUACCAAAGAUAUUGAUAAUCUUUCAUAAAAAAAAUAAUUAAAUAUUGUAUAGUCCUCCCAGUAUUACUUUGGUCUUUGACCAAAGAAUGCUGUGACGACUGACUAUAUUUUCCCGAGGGCUGGGGGUGGUGGUGGGGAUGGGGACACCCACAUUGUGGAAGGGUUUAGCGGAGCCGUUCCGCUCAAGCUGUGGAGUCAGCAAACCCUUUGCCGUGGGUCAAACGUGCAAACCCUUGUGCCGUGGGUCAAACGGUGCACUCUUCGGGACACGCUUGACCUCAAGCGUCAAUGAGGCGGGCUGUACGGGGCCCUAUCACGUUACCGUACUAUGCGUGAAAUUGCUGUGACGCAAUUUGCUGAGCAUUGAUCGCACCCGGGCGCGGGCAUACAGCGAAGAAGCAGCGUCCUGGCUUAUGUGUGACGAACCCUCCCUCCCCCUGCCCCCGCGGCUGCGGUUGCUGUGGAGGUAGUGGCGGGCUGCCCCGCUACCGUCGUGACGUGACGGGUGUCUUGGGUGCUGCUGCGGUGGUUGUGGGGUGGUAGCAGCGGCAUCCUGCAGUAAGUCUACUACUGCCUCCACAGCUAACAAGAGCUGCAUCCGAGACGCCCGUGACGUCACUGCUGUAGUGGUGGCAGUCUGCUACUACAUCCACAGUUACCGCAGCGUAGAAUCAGGUGGCCAGCAUCAAGUCCAGGCACAUCUCUUUGGAGAAGAACCACCACCACUUCCUAUUUUACUAAGGCUGUACCAUACAAAUGAAAUAAAUAGCAGCAUUACUGUAA